AAGAAGCUAUUUUCAACUGAAAAGUCUAUAGAAGAGAUUUUGGAACAAACAGGAGAAAAUCAGCAGGAUCUAAUCGUGAGGAGCAGAUUAUACUUCUCCAGAUGGAAUUCAAAUGUGAAUUUGCAGAAGUUUAACUUUGGUACCAGGGAAGUUGUUGGAGGCUGCAAACGUCUUCUUAUCACCUGGGAUGGCUUGGCUUCAAAUUGUGCCUUCCAAAGAGCAAUUUGCAACUGGCAUGGCCUACUGCCUAUAUAUUGUAAUUUAUGAAUUCAAUGGUUUCUACUUCAUCAAACUGGCUUUUCAU
rnacentral:lncRNA from 1 species